rnacentral:ncRNA from 2 species
UUCUUAUCGAGAGAAGCGGAGGGAACUGGCCCUGUGAAGCUUCAGCAACCAGCCAAGUAUUGGCCAGGUGCUAAAUCCAGCGAAUUGAAUUUUUUCAAUUCGGCAGAUAAGAA